rnacentral:rRNA from 1 species
GAUGAACGCUAGCUACAGGCUUAACACAUGCAAGUCGAGGGGAAACGAUAGAGAAAGCUUGCUUUUUCUAGGCGUCGACCGGCGCACGGGUGAGUAACGCGUAUCCAACCUGCCCAUCACUUGGGGAUAACCUUGCGAAAGUAAGACUAAUACCCAAUGACGACCAUAGAAGACAUCUGAAAUGGAUUAAAGAAUUAUCGGUGAAGGAUGGGGAUGCGUCUGAUUAGCUUGUUGGCGGGGUAACGGACCGCCAAGGCGGCGAUAAGUAGGGGGUCUGAUAGGAAGGUACCCCACAUUGAAAGUGAUGCACGUUCCAAACUCCUACGGGAGGCAGGAGUUAGUAAUAUUGGUCAAUGGACUAGAGUCUGAACCAGCCAAGUAGCGUGCAGGAUGACGGCCCUAUGGUUUGUAAACUGCUUUUAUGAGGGAAUAAGGUGGGAUUCGUGACUCCUUUUGCAUGUACCUUAUGAAUAAGGACCGGCUAAUUCCGUGCCAGCCGCCGCCGUAA